UACAGAGGUCCCAAGCGUUGUUCGGAUUCAUUGGGCGUAAAGGGUGCGUAGGCGGCGCGGUAAGUCGGGUGUGAAAUCUCGGAGCUUAACUCCGAAACUGCAUUCGAUACUGCCGUGCUUGAGGACUGGAGAGGAGACUGGAAUUUACGGUGUAGCGGUGAAAUGCGUAGAUAUCCGGAGGAACACCGGUGGCGAAGGCGGCUUCCUGGACCGACACUGACGCUGAGGCGCGAAAGCUAGGGGAGCAAACGGG
rnacentral:rRNA from 1 species